UACGGGGGGGGCAAGCGUUGUUCGGAAUUACUGGGCGUAAAGGGUUCGUAGGCGGCCCGCUAAGUCAGACGUGAAAUCCCUCGGCUCAACCGGGGAACUGCGUCUGAGACUGGCGGGCUUGAGUCCGGGAGAGGGAUGCGGAAUUCCAGGUGUAGCGGUGAAAUGCGUAGAUAUCUGGAGGAACACCGGUGGCGAAGGCGGCAUCCUGGACCGGCACUGACGCUGAGGAACGAAAGCCAGGGGAGCAAACGGG
rnacentral:misc_RNA from 1 species